rnacentral:lncRNA from 1 species
UUUUUUUUUUUUUUAUUUGCAAAGUAACAGCAUAGCACUGGCUUAGCACUGGCUUAGACGGAAGCUCAGGUUGUCUCUUGUCUUUCUAGAGAUAGAAAUGGUUUCUGCUCAUUUUUCCUUGGACAAUUAUCUUAAGCUGGGCAUGGUGGUUCAUCUCUAUAUGGCUAGUACUCGGGAGGCUGAGGCAAUGAGGUGAUGAACCUGAGCUACAGAGGGAGACCUUGUCUUGGAGGAGGAGGAAACAAAAAACUCAAAUAAAACAAAAAACUAAGCAUGAUGGGAAAUGACCUGUGACCCCUGCACUUCGGAGGUAGAAGAGCAGUGUUUUGAACUCAAGGCCGUCCUUGGCUACAUAAUAAGUUAGUUUGAAGCCAGCUACAUGAGACCUUGUCCCGGAGAAAAAAGAAAACUAUUUGAACUACUCUUAAGGAAGUUGUUAGGAAUGCUGGUAGAAAUUUUUUAUUUUGUUUGCAUCUCCCUAACACUACAGCCUGAUACUUAAAACAAAAAGCAAAACAAAACAAAGAACCCUGUAGUUUCCCAUACAGUAGGAUCUAAAAGAAAAAAAUUAAAACGAAAUCUGAGACAUCUAGGUACAUCACCAAAACUUAUAUAUAUAUAUAUAUAGUAUGUAAACAAGCAUAUGCUAAUAAUUCGCUGUUUUUGGAUACUUGGAAAAGGAUCUCAAAACUAAAAGGACAGACAAUAUUUUAAAAAAUAUGCUCUGGGAGUUUAUAAUAUGAGCAAGAAGACACGGUGCACAGGACUGGAGGCUGUGGGUAGUCAGGCGUGUGGCACAGUGUCCCAGACUCAGAUCCUGCAGGCUCAGAGUUCCAGGGACUUUUCAUAGAUUUUAUAAUAAUGGUCAUGACUUCACAUUUAUCAAUGGGAACAGUUGAUUACCGUCCCUCCUCAAUGAUCCCAGCCCCAAGGAGUCUAGCUCAUUCUCUGUUUUUAUACCUUUUUGUGUUUUGGGUGCCUAUAUAAAGUAUCCACAUUGAUUGGUUGGAAUGAAUUCGUGAAUUAAACAAGAGUGAUCAGAAAGGGGCAGGGUUAACUAAUACAGGCUCUGGAGCUGGCAAGCUCUUAAGUUAGCCAGCAGGUGGUUCUUUUGGUACUACUGCGUCCGUCCCCUGUGCUCUCCCUGUGGUCAAUACACUUGUCAUUUUCUUUCAAAAACAAAAGCGUAAAAACCAAAGCUGGACGUGAUAACUCACAUCUCCAAUCCCCUCAAGGUCCUUGGGAGGCCAGCGUGGUCUAUACAGUGAGUUCUAGGCCAGCCACUGCUAGACAGUUUUUGUAACUAAAAGGCUAUUGUGGGGUUGCAGGGGCAGCUUAGCUGAUAAAAUGCUUGCCACAUGGCAACCUUCAUUGAAUCCCUAGCUCUAAAAAGGCAGCUGUGGUAGGUAGCACGAGUUUGUGAAUGCAGCCCAAGGGAGACUGAGGCGUGUGAUUCCUGGAACUUGUUAGCCAAAGGCCCCAGCCUCUUCAGGAAAGCCCCACGUUCUACUAAGAGAUCCUAUUUCAGAAAGCAAAACCAAACCAAACCACGGUAGAUGGCUCCCGAGGAACAACAUGAGGAUUGACUUCUGGCAUUCAUGUGUGUGUGUGACACAUGUGGCAGUCAGAGGACAGCUUUUUGGAAUUGAUGCUGUCCCUCUAGCUUUAUGGAGGCUCCAAGGGCUAAACUCAGAUGAUCAAGCUUGCCUUGUCUCCAGGCAUACUCCUUUUACACUGAGCUAUCUUGUUCACCCUGCAGUGGUUGAACAUUUUAUUCCUGGACUGGAGAGAUGCCUCGGCGGUUAAAGCACUUGCUGCUGGCACAGAGGAGCCAAGUUUGGUUCCCGGUUUCACAUCACUCCAGUUAUGUGGAGUCAGAUGUCCUCUUCUCCAUGGUGCCUAUACCACACACGCAUAUGCAAAUACAAUGUAUUACCGGAGUCAGUAAGAAGGCUCAGCAGGUAAUAGCACUUCUUGUCAAGUCUGACAACCUGAGUUCGAUCCCUGAAACCCCAUGGUCAUAUGCCUGAGUUCGAUCCCUGAAACCCCAUGGUCACAUGGUAGAAGGAGCAAAGCAACUCCUGCAGCUUAGCCUGUCACCUUCACAUGUGUGCUAAGGCAAGUACGCACCCACACACAUGCACAUGCAUUUACACACACACAGGGAGUACAUACAUAAAUGUUACCAAAAAAAAAAAAUGUGUCCCUAAUAGCUCAGCCCUUUGGUCAGCCCUUUGGUCAUUUCCGUCCUAUCUGAAAAUUUGUGAACUUUGACCUAUACCUUCCCCAGCUGGCCACACCUCCUCUCUGUCUCCCUCCCUGAUAGCCAUUUCAUGACAACCUUUCUCUCAAUACUUCUGUGGAUUCAAGCAUCUAGAAUGUAUGUGUAGGAGGCUGAAGAGAUGGCUCAUAGGUUAAGAGCAAUGGCUGCUCUUUCAGAGAGCUCAGGUUUGACUCUCAGCACCCACAUGGCAGCUCACAACCACCUCUCAUUCCAGUUCCAGAGGAUCUGAUACCCUCUUCUGGCCUCUGAGGGCACCUUGUAUGCACAUGGUACACAAAUAUACAUGUAGACAAACCACCUAUGCACAUAAAAAAAAAUCUUUUAAAAAAAAACCUAAAUAAUAAAGUUGUACGUGGGGGUAAGAUGCAAUAUACCUGGUGUAUUCCAUUCACUCUAAUGCCCCGUGGUUUCUCUGUCUAUACAUCUCUUGGUAGGUUGAUUCUAUAUAUUAGUGAGAAUAGCUCUGCAUAUUGAUUUUGGGUCUUGUGCAUGUACCCAGAAGUGGGGCUGCUGGAUUGUAUGGUAGUUCUGCCCAUUCUAAUUUAUAUUCCUAUCAACACUUCACCUGAGGUCUCUUUUGUCGAUAUCCUCAUCAAUCCCAAGCACUCAUCUUUUCAGAUAGGUUUUACUGUGUAGCCCAGGCUGGCCUAGAACUUGCUUUGCUCUCCAGGCUGCCUUUGAACUCUAAUCACCCUGCUCUACAGAGUUAGGAUCACAGCGUGUACCCCCAAGCCUGGCUCCCAUCUUUCUAACAUUCUAACAGGUGUGAGGUUUUACGGCUUUAGUGCAUGAAUAAAAUCAGACUGUCCCCAGAAGGUGACAUCAUCCUGGGGCAGAAGAACAGAUAUUUGCUUUCUGUCUCCUUUGCUUGGGAAGAAACUGAGAGGAAAACCAGGCAGAGAGCCUAUGACAUGGCUGCCCGAGUUCCAGGCAGAGGAAAGGAAGAGAGCUCACCGCUUUGGCUAAUUUGUCUUGUAUGGCACAGGAGGCUUUUAACUUUGCUUGCGUGGCUGGCACAAGGCCCUUUCUAUCGAUCAGUGGAUAAUCUUGGUUAGAGUUGCAUUAUUCACUGGCUCAAAAUUACAUUUCCAUUUAUGGCGUGCGUUGCUUAUAACACAGAAUGUAGACUCAGUGUUUGAAGUCUUACUGUUAUGCUCUUGUUCUUGCAGUUAAAUCCAGAUGUGAAUGUUUUCCAGAGGAAAUUUGUGAAUGAAGUUAGAAGAUGUGAAGAAAUGGAUCGAAAACUCCGUAUGUGCAAUGUGGUCAUUCCUCAUUUGUCUCACGUUAGAAUCAUUAGUCCUCUCAGUAAAGGAAUAAAAACUCUACAGUAGAAACAGGAAUUCACUAAGCCCUAAGCCCGAGUGAAAGAAAGGCAGCUGUGGCUGCCAGCAGGAUAUUAGUUACCAUCCAGCCUGCUGGCCCUUUGCAGUUUAUUCAAUAAGCAACAACAAAUAACUAAGAACCGGGUGUGCCGGUGCACAUCAGCAGCCCCAGCAUUCCCACCGUGAGGUGGGAGGGGGAGACUGGCGGGCCAGCUAGGCUGGAGUACACUGUGCAGCAGAAGCAAGAAGCAGGGUUGAAGUCAGGAACCAGUUCCCCAAAGUUGGCUUCUGACUACCACAUGAGCGCCCACACCCACACAUACAUGUACACAUGCAUGCGCACAUACACAAUAUAAAUAAGUUUAUUAAAAGAUGUAAAAAAAUGAGAGGGAAAAAAAUCUGCAACCACAACCUCAUUUUUGUAUAGAAAUAGAUUUUAUGGACUUUGAGCUGGGUUGUAUUUAAGGGAAAUCUUGUUCAAACAACAAGCUGAAAACAUUGUGGUUGUUUUUUGUUGUUGUUGAAUUGUUUUGUUUUUUCCUUUACUCUUGGACACUGUGGAGCUCAGACUGUGCUGGGACUCCAUGUAGCUGACCAGCUCAGGCAAUGAUCCUUCUGUCUUGGCUUCUCUGGAAUACUUCGGUUCCCUGUCCAUGCCACUAUUCUUAGAUUCUCAGGGGAUUUUUGUUUUGUUUUGUUUUGUUUGUUUGUUUGUUUGUUUUUCAAGACAGAGUUUCUCUGUGUCUUCCUGGCCAUCCUGGAACUCACUGUGUAGACCAGGUUGGCCUGAGUUUAGAGAGUCACUGCCUCUGCCUCCCAAGCACUGAGAUUUGAGCAAGGCAUGCACCACCUCUGCCCAGUCAGAUUCUCAUGGGAUUUUAACAGCAGAACUAUGUUUCAGAAUUCCAAAAGGUACUAUCAAAUUUAGACGUCAUCUGAGCAGUUUAUGAGAAGUGUAACAUUCUCUGAGACUUUACAAGCUGGCACUGAUGAGUAAUUGAAAACUUGAUUCAUUCCCCACACCAUGACUUUAAGAUGUGGUGGCAUACACCUUUAAUCCCAGCACACAGAGACCAACAUUCUCUCUUAGUUGCACACCAGUUUGGUCUACAUAGACACUGUCUC